CCAACGAGGUCUGCUUGGUAGGUUGUGCCCUUGAGGCGUGGCUUCCGGAGCUAACGCGUUAAGUCGACCGCCUGGGGAGUACGGCCGCAAGGUUAAAACUCAAAUGAAUUGACGGGGGCCCGCACAAGCGGUGGAGCAUGUGGUUUAAUUCGAUGCAACGCGAAGAACCUUACCUACUCUUGACAUCCAGAGAACUUAGCAGAGAUGCUUUGGUGCCUUCGGGAACUCUGAGACAGGUGCUGCAUGGCUGUCGUCAGCUCGUGUUGUGAAAUGUUGGGUUAAGUCCCGCAACGAGCGCAACCCUUAUCCUUUGUUGCCAGCGGUUAGGCCGGGAACUCAAAGGAGACUGCCAGUGAUAAACUGGAGGAAGGUGGGGAUGACGUCAAGUCAUCAUGGCCCUUACGAGUAGGGCUACACACGUGCUACAAUGGCGCAUACAAAGAGAAGCGACCUCGCGAGAGCAAGCGGACCUCAUAAAGUGCGUCGUAGUCCGGAUUGGAGUCUGCAACUCGACUCCAUGAAGUCGGAAUCGCUAGUAAUCGUAGAUCAGAAUGCUACGGUGAAUACGUUCCCGGGCCUUGUACACACCGCCCGUCACACCAUGGGAGUGGGUUGCAAAAGAAGUAGGUAGCUUAACCUUCGGGAGGGCGCUUACCACUUUGUGAUUCAUGACUGGGGUGAAGUCUACGGGGGACCCCCCCAAAAAAAUGGUUUUUUUGGGGGUUU
rnacentral:rRNA from 1 species